rnacentral:rRNA from 1 species
CCUACGGGGGGCAGCAGUGAGGAAUAUUGGUCAAUGGGCGUAAGCCUGAACCAGCCAAGUCGCGUGAGGGAUGAAGGUUCUAUGGAUCGUAAACCUCUUUUAUAAGGGAAUAAAGUGCGGGACGUGUCCCGUUUUGUAUGUACCUUAUAAAUAAGGCUCGGCUAACUCCGUGCCAGCAGCCGCGGUAAUACGGAGGAUCCGAGCGUUAUCCGGAUUUAUUGGGUUUAAAGGGUGCGUAGGCGGCCUUUUAAGUCAGCGGUGAAAGUCUGUGGCUCAACCAUAGAAUUGCCGUUGAAACUGGGAGUCUUGAGUAUGUUUGAGGCAGGCGGAAUGCGUGGUGUAGCGGUGAAAUGCUUAGAUAUCACGCAGAACCCCGAUUGCGAAGGCGGCCUGCCAAGCCAUGACUGACGCUGAUGCACGAAAGCGUGGGGAUCAAACAGGAUUAGAUACCCGGGUAGUC